rnacentral:rRNA from 1 species
AGCGAACGCUGGCGGCAGGCUUAACACAUGCAAGUCGAGCGGGCCUUUCGGGGUCAGUGGCGGACGGGUGAGUAACGCGUGGGAACGUGCCCUCUGGUUCGGAAUACCUCAGGGUAACUUGAGCUAAUAUCGGAUACGCUCUUCUGGUGCAAGGCUUGCUGCCGGAGGUUCGGCCCGCGUUGGUUUGGCCGGUUGGUGAGGUAACGGCGCACCAAGGCGUGGAUCAGUAGCUGGGCUGAGAGGAUGAUCAGCCACACUGGGUCGGAGACACGGCCCAGACUCCUACGGGAGGCAGCAGUGGGGAAUAUUGGACAAUGGGCGCAAGCCUGAUCCAGCCAGGCCGCGUGAGUGAUGAAGGCCUGAGGGUAGUAAAGCUCUUUUAUCCGGGACGAUAAUGACGGUACCGGAGGAAUAAGCCCCGGCUAACUUCGUG